UACGUAGGGUGCAAGCGUUACUCGGAAUUACUGGGCGUAAAGCGCACGUAGGCGGACUAUUAAGUCAGGGGUGAAAUCCCGGGGCUCAACCCCGGAACUGCCUUUGAUACUGGUAGUCUCGAGUCCGGAAGAGGUGAGUGGAAUUCCGAGUGUAGAGGUGAAAUUCGUAGAUAUUCGCAAGAACACCAGUGGCGAAGGCGGCUCACUGGCCCGAUACUGACGCUGAGGCACGAAAGCGUGGGGAGCAAACAGG
rnacentral:rRNA from 1 species